rnacentral:lncRNA from 1 species
GGUUUUUAGUAGCAAACUGACUUGACUCAUGAAGUUUGCAAAAAGAGGUGAUAAAUAAAGAGAAGGUUGCUUUGUAAAGGUGAAGAUGAUAUAUUAUCUUCGUUGUGCUGAGCAGGGGCGGUUCUUAGAAGGCCACGGCCCGGGCAAAAUUUUCGGCCGUAGUGCUAAUUUUUCACAUUUUGAUCGAAAUUUUUAUAUAUACUACGUUUGGCCCGGGCUUACCCGGGCUUUUUUAGUGCCCGUGUCUUUCGGCCCUGGCACGUUCAACGGGCAAGAUCCGCCACUGGUGCUGAGGUACGAUCUCUAUAAUUUUGCAUAUCUGAUUUCGUAUUGUACGUAUUUUUUAGCAUCAUAUUUGUAAACCAAUCUUGAUUUCAAAUUAAUGUACUAAAGCAACUUUUUAUUCAACUCGCAAAAACUGUUUGUGAACGCCCAAAAAAUACUACUUGUGACUGGUGUUUAACUUAUUACUUUGUAUUGUGACUGACUUACUUUUGCUUCUUUUUGUCGAUGAUAUAUGCUCUGGUAACAUAUAUCAUGGAGAUUGGAGAACUGAGGCACAAUAGGUGGUCUCUUUGUUUGGUUUUAUGCAUUGGCUAGAAACUGGACAUCUUUUAAUACACACCGAAGUGGAAGAAAAAUUAUGGUGGUACAGGAGAUAGAGUCGUAACUUUGUGGAUUAGUUAAAGAAGAAGAAGCAUGGUUUGUUGUAUAUGGAAAUUGAUGGAGGGAUUGCCAGCUAUAUCAUGUAUCAUCAACACUAAACCUGCUG